GAUAAAACCAGCCUGCGCUCACCAGCUAAUUAUCAGCACUGUGUACACUUGGGCUCCUGGUUCCGUUUCAGUCCUGAUGUUCAGGAAGUACGGCUCCUGUAAUUUUCAUCCGGAUAUCAGGAAGCGAUGUGUUGUAAGAACAUCUCAUCUACCACGAGGGAUGAACCCGCAGAAAUCACUUACACCAACAGAUUUACAGGUGUUGGCUUCUGUCAUAAGAUGGUAGUGGGGCAGCUCAACAUGUGUGUGCAAGUUAGCACCCCACGCCUUGUUAGCAGCUGAUGGAGCAGCCCCCCUCCCUGCUCACUGUGGGCGCCUGCAGACCUUGAGGA